GAUGAACGCUGGCGGCGUGCCUAAUACAUGCAAGUCGAGCGAACAGAUGAGGCGCUUGCUCCUCUGACGUUAGCGGCGGACGGGUGAGUAACACGUGGAUAACCUACCUAUAAGACUGGUAUAACUUCGGGAAACCGGAGCUAAUCCGGGAUAAUCUAUUGCACCGUAUGGUUGAAUGGUAAAAGACGGUUUUGCUGUCUCUUAUAGAUGGAUACGGGCCGCUGUAGCUAGUUGUGAAGGUAAAGGCUUACCACGGCAACGAUGCGUAGACGACGUGAGAGGGUGGUAGCCCACACUGGAACUGAGACACGGUCCUGACUACUAAGGGAGGCAGCAGUAGGGAAUCGUACGCAAUGGGCGAAAGCCUGACGGAGCAACGCCGCGUGAGUUAUGAAGGUCUUCGGAUCGUAAUACUCUGUUAUGAGUGAAGAACAAAUGUGUAAGUAACUAUGCACGUCUUGACGGUAACUAAUCAGAAAGCCACGGCUAACUACGUG
rnacentral:rRNA from 1 species